CGCAAGCGAGGCGUCUCCUUAUACCCUCCAUAUCCAACCAUACUUUACCUUUACGGUGAGAGGGAAAAAGGUGCCUAACGAAACAUUUCCAGGAAACAUUAACAUGUCUGUUCUAGUCGACCGGAUUUGAAGGUGAUCAGCUCACCAUGCACAAAGGAUUCUGUGGGAAUAAAGAAGGCAGCAGCUAUCAUUCCAAGCAAGGUGAUGAACUUGAGAAACCAGAACCUACGUAAAGAUAUGGAGAAUAGACAGAUUGCCAUCAUCAAGUAGAAACAAGCUGUGCCAAAGCACACCCUGUAUACAGCCGAGUACCCCACCAACAUCUGACAGUUCCCUCCACCAUGAGCCUCAUCGCAGACCACAUUAAAGAAAGGCACCUGAGGAAGAGUGAGGUCUGUUAGGACAUUUCUGUAUUGUUCAGAUUAGGCUGGCAAAUUGACUGUUUACAAAAUCAGUGAUUUUACAGCAUUAGGAGUAGGAUGGGGGAAUGAAAACCAGCUGUAGCCAAUAUAGCGAGAAGACAUGUCUUAUAGGAAACUUACAU